rnacentral:rRNA from 1 species
CCAGAGAACUUAGCAGAGAUGCUUUUGGUGCCUUCGGGAACUCUGAGACAGGUGCUGCAUGGCUGUCGUCAGCUCGUGUUGUGAAAUGUUGGGUUAAGUCCCGCAAGAGCGCAACCCUUAUCCUUUGUUGCCAGCGGCUCGGCCGGGAACUCAAAGGAGACUGCCGGUGAUAAACCGGAGGAAGGUGGGGAUGACGUCAAGUCAUCAUGGCCCUUACGGCCAGGGCUACACACGUGCUACAAUGGCGCAUACAAAGAGAAGCGACCUCGCGAGAGCAAGCGGACCUCAUAAAGUGCGUCGUAGUCCGGAUUGGAGUCUGCAACUCGACUCCAUGAAGUCGGAAUCGCUAGUAAUCGUAGAUCAGAAUGCUACGGUGAAUACGUUCCCGGGCCUUGUACACACCGCCCGUCACACCAUGGGAGUGGGUUGCAAAAGAAGUAGGUAGCUUAACCUUCGGGAGGGCGCUUACCACUUUGUGAUUCAUGACUGGGGUGAAGUCGUAACAAGGUAGGCGUAGCGAG